GAAAUGCUAUAAGUAAUGUGAAUAGCAAAAUUCAGUGAAUCAUCGAAUCUUUGAACGCAUCUUGCGCUCCUUGGUAUUCCGAGGAGCAUGCCUGUUUGAGUGUCAUCA
rnacentral:rRNA from 1 species